rnacentral:lncRNA from 1 species
CCUCAAUACCCUCCCUAACCGGCUGAAGAAAGACGGGCGAAGGCGUGCAAGGAGAGACAGUGACUUUUACCACUCCUAUCUGAGUCCGAGCCAUAAACCGGGGCAGGGGUGCUGAGAGCGCGUGUGGAGUGAGCGUGGAGAGAGAGAGAACGGCUCAGGGAUGAUGUGUGCUAAAUUGAGAAGCUGGAAUUCAAGUCCUAGACUCAAAUGUGUAUAUCCUCAGUGAAAGCAGCGAUAACCAAGGGCACGGGCUGAAUUCUGGAGAUUGAGUGUACAUCAAGAGACACCAGGCGGGGGUGUUGGGACAGCAUUGGUUUGGGCCACACAUCCUACUUCGUACAGUACCUGCAGCAUUAAAGAUCGUCAUGUCUCUCCUUGGGGGGGUGAAUAGUUCUCACGUGAAGUGAGGUCCAGCAGCAUAAUGGGUGAGCUUGAAGACACCAUGACAGAGGAAACAGAGCGAAAGAGAGAGACUAGAUUUCACUGUAAGACAUAGAGAUAUGUUGGUUCUGGGAGCUACUUUAAACAUCAUAGUUUGGUUAGGGUUAGCUGCUUUAUUGGUUAAUGCAUCAUAUGAUAGAGAAUAGAUGUUUGGGUAAUUGUACAAAAUGUUGAAGGCAUUGAUGUGAAAGCAUAUACAGUGCUACGUUGAUUAGGGAUACGCACUUGCAUAUCAGGUGACGUGCCUAUCUGGUGAAAUGGAGGAGAUAAGGACAAAGUGAAAAUGACAUGACUUGGGAACACCUCUCGGAACCUGGCGGCCGAAAGGGGAAGACUGGGCGAAAGCAUGAGGAAGUUUUUUUUAGAGCUUUCAUUUUUGUGGAACCCAACAGGAAAGUAUCCUGGAGGCAUAGAGUCAGGUGAAGAGAGAGUGGGAAUUGUCAGGGUCUCAGACUUUGGUUUUCAUGCAUAUAUAAUUAUGUAUAGCUUAUCACAUUGUUAAUACUGUUAUGUUCUGUGUGUCUUUUUGUUGCUUUCCAAGUCUUAUGCUAUCACUCUCUUAGGAACCAGAAGGCGAAAGUGGAGAAACAAAAAGCGUUCCAUCUGACAUGGAACAAGACAGCAGAUUCAGCUGGAAUGGCAUUUUGUUGUGUGAUGAGAGAUGGAAAUAAAAAUGUGUAUGACGUGAUCAUAGUACAGAUGUCAUAAAUCUCUGAAUUUGUAAACCUGACGGUGAAUGUUUGUUCAUUGUUUGUUCCAUUUGUUAGUUUGUUUAAUUCAUGUUUUAUAAUCAUUUGUUAGGUUUUUUUAAAUACAUGUUUUAUUAUCAUUGUUUAUCCAUUUAUAAGUCAUUUCCAAGUUUAUGUAAAUUGAACAUUAGGACGCUAUUGUUCAAGAGGAGGGACUGUUGGAAUCGGGAUAAACUCUGAACAUUGAGAUAUGAAAUAAAUUAUGGAUGAGAAGCAUAGACUAUAAGGAGUGAAAGAGACUGGGUUUUAUGUCAGACGUUAAUGGUUUUCUGUAGGAAGAGAGGGGCUUUGGAAUGUGUUGGGUGGACGGGAGGAGAUCACAGGAUUGCUAUAGGGGAGCUGUGCUAUUACGAUGGAGGGGUUGAGGUCAGGAGGUCAGGUCAGAUCCCCUGAAGGGAGUAAUAAGGGUUUAUUACCCUAUUACCCGCUUCCUGUGGAACCAUAAGAUGUAAGGAUUGGAGAGCAGGAGGAGAGUCUAAAGUGGGGUAUAUAUAAUUGUGAUGGUGAGAAAUGUUAUUUUGUCUGAAUACAGCUGUAACGACCCUUUGGGAAGAAUUAAACUUGGUUAAGCUAGUGUCGGUGAGUUAUUUACUCUGAAAAAUUAGAACCUAACACCAUCCAAAGUGUAAUUAAUAACUUCACCAUGCUCAAAGGGAUAUUCAAUGUCUGGUUGUGAUACAGCCCGGGGUCGAACCUGGGUCUCUAGUGACGCCUCUUGGACUGAGAUGCAGUGCCUUUGACCGCUCGCCACUCGGUACCGCAAGAAUUGAGGCUGUUCUGAGGGCAAAAGGGGGUACAACUCAAUAUUAAGAAGAUAUUCCUAAUGUUUUGAACACUCAGUGUAUAUUGUAAAGAUAACAGGUUGUUCUUAACCAAUCAAAUGGAAAUAAAUGGAAUGCUUGUUUUCAAUGGAAGGAUUUGAACCUUUGUUGUAUGUUUAGGUUGAUGGGGGGUUGGACUCUCAAUUGGAGGCAGGUGCUUUCUCGUUGCCUCUGAUUGAGAGUCCUAUAUAUGGGUAAUUGUUUGGUUUGGUGUUGUGGGAGAUUGUUUCUUGUUUUGCUGAGUGUGCCUGACAAGACUGUUUUGUUGUUUGUGCGUUUUUCGUUUUUGGUGUUCACUUUAUUUAAAAUAAAUAUCAAGAUGAGCAUCCACAUUCCUGCUGCGUUUUGGUCCUCUAUUCCCGACGACAACCGUUACAUUCUGUUUGUUUCCAUAGUCACCAAU